rnacentral:rRNA from 1 species
UACGGGGGGGGGCAAGCGUUGUUCGGAAUUACUGGGCGUAAAGGGCUCGUAGGUGGCCAACUAAGUCAGACGUGAAAUCCCUCGGCUUAACCGGGGAACUGCGUCUGAUACUGGAUGGCUUGAGUUUGGGAGAGGGACGCGGAAUUCCAGGUGUAGCGGUGAAAUGCGUAGAUAUCUGGAGGAACACCGGUGGCGAAGGCGGCGUCCUGGACCAACACUGACGCUCAUGUGCGAAAGCGUGGGGAGCAAACAGG